GGGAUGUAUCUCAAUGAUAGAGUGCUUGCCUAACAUGUGUGAGGCCCUAGGUUCAAUCCCUAGUUCCA
rnacentral:tRNA from 1 species